rnacentral:lncRNA from 1 species
GAAGGGGUGAGUGGAACAGUUCUCUUCCUUUUCUAUCUUUGUUUCUUUAAGAAGACAUAGUAGUUAUACAGGGGAGAGCUGAGGAGAAGGGCCUUAUAAGGAAACUAAAUAGUUUCUUCAGAACAUGAGUAGAAGGAGUGCCUAAUAAUGUAUUUGCCAGAAAUGUACUCUGUGUCAAGACUCGUUUUGGUAAACUUGUCUCUUUUCAUUGGUUCCGGGAUCUCAUAUGCUGUAAUGCAGCUUUUACCACCAUGAAACAUUCAGGGGCUGCCUCGUUUUGUCGUGAGAAGGCAGUAUUGCUUUCUGAGUUAUUGCCCUGGCAGCUCUGUAAAUUAGACCAUGCUGUCACCAUGCCCUCUCUGAAGGGCACAUUGUACCCAAAUGACUGCAUUUAGGAUUGACUCUUGCCACUCCCUGCUGCAUGACACUUCUCUCUGCUUGUAUCUGUGUCCAGUUUUUUAUGUUCUUAAGUGUGGGCCACCCACACAUUGCCACCCAGGUUCCUCAGCCAGAGUAACUUGGUAAGGCUUCUGAUCCAAUAAUUUUCCAUUGGAUCAGAACCUACCUAACUCUAGAGUUCCCCUUCCAUUUCAAACCUUAAAUGUUGUCUGACUCCCCAAACUCCCCCUCCUCCUUUAUUUUUCUCUCCUGCUUCUGCCAGACUCCUUGUUUCUUGAAGGCCUCCCUUGGCUCUCUCCACCUUCUUUUUUAAUGCUCAGAGUUCAUCAUGGCCAGUCCUUCUUUAGCUUUUUUCUUCUCGUCUUUUAGGUUUUCUUUCUCAAGAUUCUUCUUCCAUAUGGCAUGUCAUUUCCUGGACUGUUCUUGAAGAAUGGAAAAACUGCUUUGUUUAGUGUCUGCUU